rnacentral:rRNA from 1 species
GAGGAAGGCGGAGGGAAUGCUUAACACAUGCAAGUCGAUGGGGAAGUGGUGCUUGCACCAUGGCAACCAUGGCGGACGGGUGAGUAACGCGUAAGGGACUUACCUGCAGGACUGGGAUAACAGGGGGAAACUCCUGACAAGACCGGAUAAUGUCAUGGAGCUGCAUGGCUUUAUGAUGAAAGGAGACGCCUGCGGAGAGCCUUGCGUCCUAUUAGCUAGUUGGUGAGGUAAUGGCUCACCAAGGCGAAGAUAGGUAGCCGGCCUGAGAGGGUGGACGGCCACAAGGGGACUGAGAUACGGCCCUUACUCCUACGGGAGGCAGCAGUGGGGAAUAUUGGACAAUGGGGGCAACCCUGAUCCAGCAAUUCUGUGUGCACGAAGAAGGUUUUCGGAUUGUAAAGUGCUUUCAGCAGGGAAGAAGUAAGUGACGGUACCUGCAGAAGAAGCGACGGCUAAAUACGUG